rnacentral:rRNA from 1 species
UGGGGAAUUUUGGACAAUGGGCGAAAGCCUGAUCCAGCCAUGCCGCGUGAGUGAAGAAGGCCUUCGGGUUGUAAAGCUCUUUUAGUCGGAAAGAAAGAGUUGCAGUGAAUAAUUGUGAUUGAUGACGGUACCGACAGAAAAAGCACCGGCUAACUACGUGCCAGCAGCCGCGGUAAUACGUAGGGUGCGAGCGUUAAUCGGAAUUACGGGGCGUAAAUGGUGCGCAGGCGGUCUUGCAAGUCAGAUGUGAAAGCCCCGGGCCUAACCUGGGAAUUGCGUUUGAAACUCCAAGGUUAGAGUGCAGCAGAGGGAGUGGAAUUCCAUGUGUAGCAGUGAAAUGCGUAGAGAUGUGGAAGAACACCGAUGGCGAAGGCAGCUCCCUGGGUUGACACUGACGCUCAUGCACGAAAGCGUGGGGAGCAAACA